CCCAAGGCGUCACCGCUGUGAGAGUAGCGGAGGUGCUUUUGGACGGGAUAGUGAGGGUGUAGGAUUCAUUGACGGCAUGGGAGAGCGUUGCUUUGAGAUCUGAUAUGGUGAUCGUUAAAGUUUGUAACGGCAGGGAGGUGGUGAAGUUGAUCGCCGGAGCAAGUAAGGGGUUGUAGUUAGCGGUUUGGAUUUGGCUGAGGUAACGGUUAACCGCCGGUGUUAGGUAGGGGUGCGGCGGAGAAGUAAUGGCGAAAGAUGGGGAGAAAGGGAUUGCCUGUGGGGUGGUCCAGAUGAAGGAUCUUGGUUUGGGCCAUAUGUUGAUCGGGGAUCCAACGGCUGAGGUUGAAGGAACCAAAGUGAGAAAUAAUAAUAGUAAGUUUAAAAUAGUGGAAAAAUUAUUGGUACCCAUUUUUGGUUAUGAAAAGUAAGGUGUGUGAUGAGUGAUGAAUAGAAGAAUGGAGAGGAAAAGUUUAUAUAGUUUUUGAAUUAUGAUAUAACAAGUCAAUGGAACGACCGAUAUUUCAUUUGUUUUAGCUUUUAAAUGUAUAUAUAUUUUUUCUGAUUGGUUUCUUCCAUUUGGCAUUUUGUGUUUAGUUCAUAUAAAUAAUUGUGUAUUGUGUUUAAACGAUGAUUAAUCGGCUAUAAAGUGUUAUGUAUGGUGCAUUAUAAGGGUAAGUUGGUGUUUGAGAUAACUUUUCAAAAAACUUAAAAAACUAGUAAGUUAAAAAAAUAUUUGUGUAUUUAAAAAAAACGUUUUUUAAAAUAGUUUAUUGGAUAGGAAAAAAUAAAGCUUUUAAAAAACUAAAAAAUCCUAACUUUUUAGCUUUUUAACCAUUUUACUCCUGGAAAAUCAGUUUUUCUUAUCUAAAUAUUUUUUAAAAUCAGUUUUUUUUUUAAAAAAAAAACCAUAAGCUAAUAAACAUUUUUUUUAAAUCACUUUUGAGAUAAAAAACUAAACCAAACAUUCCCUAAUUUGUUUAAAAGUACUUGCAAAUGUUUUAUAAUACAUCACGUGAUGCGUAUGGAUUGAUAAGCCAUAUGAAAUGAUCAUUACACGUGGAGUAUGAUUUCAUGAUGAUUUGCUAUGUGUUAAGCCAUAUGAUAUUUAAAUUAAUAUUUUGCAGGAGAUGUUUAUUUAAAUUAACAUAUUGUAAUAAAUGGAGUAUGAUUUCAUGAUGAUUUAGUAUGUGUUAAGCCAUAUGAUAUGAUCAUGAUGUUUAAAUUAACAUUUUGUAAUAAAUGGAGAUGUUUAUUUAAUGUUGAUAGUACGGAAUAGUAAUAAUGAUGUUAAUUUUUAUUCAUGUAGAUGAUAACGAUACAAGCUAGCAUAAACAAAUUUUUUUUUUUUUCCAAUCAACAUACAUUAAAUUAAUUUUUUAAUUCACCUUAAAAUUUAAAUAUCUAAUAGUUGUUUAAUUUUAUUAUAUAAGAACAUGUAUUGUUAAUCGGCCACUAGUGCCGGCGAGCAGUGGAUUGCGUUGGUUUUCUUGAAGUGCUUUCGACUGCCGGAUUUCUAUUAUUUUAUUAACUUCUUGGGGGCAUAUUUUACUGUAUUAAAAGAUAAAGGAGCCGAAUGUAAACUUUGAAUAUUCCUAGGACCCUUUCUAAACAAACUAAAUAAUUGAUAAUCUAAUCUUUUGAGGAUAUAAUUUUGUAAGAUUCUUAGGAAUAUGUUUAAUCUUUAUCUUGGACCCCAGUUGUAAUUUUUUUAUGAAUCCGCUUGAAGACAUGUUUCUAGUCAGUAUAUAUAUGUGAAGCUUUCGGUUGAGGCAGUUGUUGCGUGCAUUACGUUGACGUUGACUCGUUGACCCUUUUGACUCAAGGGUGUAAAACUAGUAUGCCUUUGUAGCAAUCCUAAACUGGGAGCGUAACAAUAGAGCUUUGAAUAUGAUCCACGUAAUUUCUAUUUCUAUUUGUAUUUGUAAGGGAUCACUAGAGUUUCAUGUGAUGAUGGACUAUAAUUGUCGUAAGUAUGCUCUUGGCAUCGAGGAAAUCAUAUUUAUACUCACAUAGUCAUAGAUAUAUAUGUAAACUAUUUAUUUUCUCUUGGUAUCUCAUUAUCAUUAUCAAAAAAUAUAUAGGAAAAUUACAAUGCAUACAGUGGGCCGAGCAUGGGCGGAUCCACCUUGGAGCCCGGGAUCCCCUAAAAAAAAAUUUAGUAGUAUAAAUUUUUUUAGAAAAUUUCGUUUAUGUUUAUGUGGCUGUGACACCCUAGAAAAUAAUUUAGGCUACCAUAAUUUUUUUUUUUUUUUUAAUUUGUAUAUGGUAAAUUCAAUUACAAACUAGUCUCAUAAGUGCUACAAACUUGUUAAACCCAAUUGGCCGGUUCCCAACACAAAAUUAAUUUAAUGACACAAAAUUUAGCUUAAUACCAAUUAUGAAAAAUCGAAAAUUAACAAUUCAACAAAUCAAUCGACUUCUUNNNNNNNNNNNNNNNNNNNNNNNNNNNNNNNNNNNNNNNNNNNNNNNNNNNNNNNNNNNNNNNNNNNNNNNNNNNNNNCUGGAUGAUUUGCCUUUGGUGGUGGGUCAUUAUUGAUCAAAGUGGACAAUGAAGCAAGUAAGUACAAAAAUUAGUGAUUAUUGUUAGGUUAACUGAAAUUCAAUUUUUUUGGCAUUGUGUUGAAAAAUUAGAAAUUACCAAUUAAGAUUGUCAGAUUAGGGACUUAGGGUUAAUGAAAAUAUGCCAUGGUUAGUAAUUAGUGAUUAUUUAUUGUUGAAACUUGAAAUCAAGUUUAUCGUUGGUAUAUUUUGAUAAUUUGAUUGUAGGUUGUAUUUGUUGUUGAAACUUGAAAUCAAGUUUAUAGUUGAUAUAUUUUGAUUGUAGGUUGCUAUUAACAAAAUUUUCAAAUGACAACAACAAUGGUGAAAAAACUUCAAAAAAAUGCUAAUAAAAAUACACAAGUUCCACAACCUAAUCAACCUAUUCCAAAAGCUCAAGAACCACAAUCUAAUGAACAUACUCCAAAACCACAAGAACCACAAUCCAAUUACUCGCUUUCGUAAAAUAAAAAAAUGAAGAUGUGAACUUUAAAACUUAACUUUGUUAUGGAAGUUGAACUUUAUCUGUAAUGAAAUUGUGGUUUUUAUUUUUUUUCUUAUUGUAUAUUACAUCAUUUUUUUGGGAUACCCGUUUACUUUUACCCUGGCUCCGCCACUGGGCCAAGAAUAUAAACAUAAAUAAUACAUAAAAUAGCAUACACUGUCAACCUCAUGUAGUCUUAAAAGGAGGAUGAUUCCAAAUGUUGAGACUAAAUUCGAAAUCAAGAAAUCCCGUCAAAAGAAGACCCUUAGUAAAAUGCCAGCGUAUUGAGACGUAGAGGGUACAUGAAGAACUUGAACAUGACCCUUGGCGACUUGAUCACAAGUGGAUAUCAAUCUUGAUGUGCUUUACCUUCUGAUGCUGAAGCAUGUUGAUAAAAAAACCACAACACUAGUGUUGUCGUAAUAAACAAUAUUGGUUUUGGUAAGCGGUCAAUGCAAUUUACAUAAAAGAUUUUUUAGCCAACAUUGUUCAGCGAAAACAUUCGCAACGCCAUGGUAUUCAACAUCAGCACUAGAUCUAAAAAUCGUUCCUUGUCACUUUAAAGAUCAAGUCAAUAAACUUUGACCCAAAAUACAUAAUAACCUAUUGUGGAGUGUCUAGUAUUAGGGAAGCCAACCUAAUCAACAUCAUAAUAAGUUAUAAGGCCAUGUGACGAAGAAGCAUAAAGUCGUAAACCAUAGUCUAUGGUUCCCUAAUAAUAACGAAGAAUUCUUUUGAGAAUCGAGAAGUGUGACUCCUAAGAAUCACACAUAAAUAAGUCAAUAUAUCGGACAACAUAAGUAAGCUCUAUACGAGUAAAAGUAAGAUAUCGUAGUGGACGUACGAGACAGAGAUAUAGUUUCGGAUCUAUAACUAAAGGGUUGGUGUCAUCGAGUUUCACAUGUGUAUAUGGAGUACGAGCAAACUUAUAAUUAAGCAUGUUAAAUUUGUUCAAAAUCUCCUAGGCAUGCUUAUGCUAUUAUAAAAAAAACAUAUUGUCCCGAGACACAAAAAUACAAAAAAAAUGAGAUUUUUAAGGCAUUUUUCUCUUCAUUCGAUCUUGCCCCUCUCAUCUCUUAUGUAUUAAGCUGUUGAGUUGCUCUAACUUAAGGUAAAUCAUUAAUAUUUGAUGUGGUUCUUCUAAAAUCUUUGUGGUCGCUUCAGUUUCUUAGUUAGAUGAAUACCAAGGAAAAAAAAUCAAAAGUCUUAAAUGUUUAUGGAAGGCUUUAUAGACAUCGUUAAGUAGUUUAGUUUAAAUUUCUAAUGUUAGAGACCCUUCAUGUACACCUGAUUACAUUUGUGGAUACUUUUUCUAGUGUGUCUUGGAUGAUUAUUAAAACCAAGGUUGUCAAGAUCAUGAUCUUGAUUGUAAGAUCCUAUGAUCUUACCUGUGAAAACUGUAACACCCGUUUCCCAUAAUGGAUCAGUUAAUGAUGUAAAUGAUUACGUGUCUCGGAUAGACUCCAUAACGUGACAUGAAGGGUGUCAAGGCGAGGAGGCUGUUUCAGUCCAAGCCCAGAAUUUUUAGGGUUUUCUCUAUAUUUAACCCCCUAAACUCAAGGUUUAGGGCAUCCUCUUCAGCCCCCAACCCUUUCAACGGAAUCAUAUCCCCCAUUGUUGAUUUCUUGAGCUUUUAGUGGUGUUUUUGGAGUCUUGAAGGAGAAGGAAGUAUCAUUGGUUGAAAAAUGUUUAAUUGAGUGGGGGUUAAAAAAUAUCUUGACUAUAAAAGUGGAUAAUGCUAGCUCUAAUGAUGUAGCUAUUAACCAUUUGAAAAGUGUUCUUAACCAUUAGGAAUAUGGUGUUAUGAAAGGGGCUUUUUUACAUAUGAGAUGUAUGGCUCACAUCUUAAACUUGGUGGUCAGAGAUGGGCUGUUGGAUGUCAGUUUGUCUAUUAAAAAAAUUCGCACUCUUGUAAAAUAUGUAAGGUCAUCUCCCGCUAAGCUUCAAAAGUUCAAAGCUGUUGUUGAAGAAGAAAAGAUAGAAAGCAAGAGUCUUGUUUCUAUGGAUGUUGAAACACGUUGGAACUUAACAUUUCUGAUGCUCGAAAGUGUCAUGAAGUUUAAAAAAGCUUUCUCGAACUUGCUUCUAAAAGAUUCUAAUUAUGCGAAAGAGCUAAAAAGUGUGAGGGUGGUUUGAUUAAUGAUGAAGAUUGGGUUAAUGUUAAUAGUCUGUUGCCUUUUUUGAAGAUCCUUUUUGAUGUUGCUAAAAGGUCUUUUGGUUCUUGUUAUGUGACUUCAAAUGCUUAUGUACAUGAGAUUUUGGGAAUUGGUAAUGUUAUUGAUGGAUUUACCAUGCACGCUGAUCAGUCCAUUAAGUCCAUGACACUUAAAAUGCAAGCAAAAUACAAGAAGUAUUGGGGGGGGGGGGACAUAGCGAAACNNNNNNNNNGGGGGGACAUAGCGAAACUUAAUUAGUUUUUGAUCAUCAGGGUAGUUCUUGACCCAAGACGUAAAUGGCAAUAUAUUGCAUGGCUUGUGGAAGAAAGCUUUGAAGAAAAGAAAGCACGUACUUUUCUUUUAAAUCUAGAUUCCAACAUGCGGGUCUUGUUUGAUCUCUAUAAUGCUUCCAUGCCUCAAAAAGAAAAGGAUGAGGAGGUGUCAUCUUCUACUUCUAAAGCUAGUCCUAAUUCUAUGUGGGGGCAUGAGGUAGUCAUGGAUAUUGAGGAACUUAUGACUAAACGUUUUGAAAUGGCUAUGGGGAGUUCUGAAACCAUUUUGAAGAAAACAAAAUUAGACAAAUAUCUAGGGGAAGACCAUGAAGCUAUGGAUGCCAACUUUGACAUAUUAAAAUGGUGGAAGAUUAAAAAAUGUAGAUAUCAUGUUCUUGCAAAGAUGGACCGAGAUAUGCUUGCUAUUCUAGUUUCUACGGUUGCCUCUCAGUUGGAUUUUAGCAUAGGAGGACGGGUGUUUGAUUGCUUUCGAACAUCUUUAAUUCCUAGAAUGGUGGAAGCCUUAGUAUGCACACAAGAUUGGGUGCAUGAUUCUCAUGAUGCAAUUAAUGUUGAUGCCAUAUUGCUUGAAAUAGAGAAAAUAGAGGAUGAAAGUUGGUCUUAAAUUCACAAAGUUUUUAUUUUUAUUUAUAUUUGUAAUGUUUUCUUUUUUAUUUUAAUUCACAAGUUUGAAUGACUUAACUGUGGAGCAACCUACCAUCAUAAUUGAUGAAACAGUCGAUGAAUUACCUGAAAACAUUGGAGGUAUUAUUUUAUUAAAGUUUCUAUACAUUAAAAACAAUUUAAAAAUGUAUCUAUUUUUCUACCCCGAUUCUGUUGUCAAAAAAAUUAAAGCUUAAUCUGAUUUUUUUUACUUCCUGCCAUUAGAUUGGAGGUUUUCAGAAUCUGAUUAAACUCAAUUUCUACCAGAUUAUACAUGAAUCAAGGUAAUCUUAAGUAAUAAGUAGGGGUUGAGGUGUAUGAUAUUACAUAAUGCAUGCGUAAUACGUACAAUGAUACAAUCUGUCAGUUUUGUCUUAAUUUUAAUGUUAUUUAUUUAUUUAUUUUUUUUCUUUUUCAGAAAAUGGUGUUGAAGUGCUAGUUGUUCGUUGCAUUGCCGGAAGAUGGAAAUAGUGAAUGGAUAUUUUGAAAAGUUAAUUGUGUGUUUUAAACUUUGAAUUGUUUUUUGGAAUCUUGUUUGUGUGCUUUAAACUUUGGAUGUUUUUUAGUUCAUGAGGGUAACAAAUAAACUAGAAUGUUAUAUGUUGUCAUUGUUAACAUUUGAAUUAGUAAUAUGUAAUGUUAUUUUUUUAAUAUUGCUGACAUUUGAAAAAAAACAAAUAUGGAUGAUUGCAUUUUUGGAUAUCCAGAUUAAUAUCCGAAAUUUCGGAUCUUCGAAAUUUCGGAUACGGAAUCGAAUAUCAAUAUCUACUUUUCGAAAUUUCCGGAUAUCCGGUUAUAAACACCCCUAAUGAAGAUAUCAAAAAUCAAAGAAUAUGAUUUCUCUGUGUGUAUCCACGGUCAAGAAUAAGACGCUUGAAAUGCUAGUUCCUUAUUGUAUUUUUGAGUAUCUUAAGCCUUUAAGUGCUUAACCCAAAUAAACACCAAAAAAGACAACUCAAGAAAGCUUUAAUUCAUCAGUUUACUUCAAAAGUUCCGACUUAUUAAUUCAUACCAUAUGAAAUAAUAUUUAGUUGUACUCUCUUAUAAUUAUUAUUUUCACAAAACAAUAAUUAUUCUUCAAUUUAAAUACAAUAAUUGAUAUUAUUUAUUAAUAGUCAUAUUAAUAAUAAAUAUACAAAAAUGUGUUAACUUGAUAAAUGUGUGACCCUAUAAGAUCAUGUAUUAUUAGCAAUAUCAGUCAAUUAUGAUUCUUGGGCAUAUAGAUUCAACAUAUUCUUUGUACUCUAUUAAGAAGUUUCACCGCAUCCGACACGAGGAAAUUAAACGUAUCAAAUACAAAUGGUAUGAACACGUGUUGAUUUUCCAUGCAUGAUUUCUCAUGUUUGGUGAUCUUGUAUGUAGCAGUUUUUAAAGCAGUCUGUCUCGCCGUGAAACCCUAACCCAUCCAAAAAUCAAAACCCCAGUCGGUUUAAGGGUUAACAUUCCUUUUACCGGGUCGGUCAAGAAAUUCAUAGGUGUCUCUUUCUUGGCGGAAACUCCGACACGUUUAAAUAUGUCAAACAAAACAUCCAUAACCAAAGAACAAAAGUCAUAAUUGGUGUAAAAGAGUCAAAAUUGGUGUUCCAAUAAAUUCUGAUCCAAAAAAGGAGUUGAAAGUCAAAGAUGAUAUUUGUUGUUGGUUGAAUUGUAAGAUUUUGAUGAACUGGUUUGUGUUUUGAUAGCUUCCAAUUAGAUAAAAAUUGGUGCCGAUCAAACUUAAAUUUGUUUUUCGUUUAUUAUACAUUUGAAUGUUAGUUUCGUUGGACUAUGGAUUAAGAAUUGAUAAAUUACGUGAUCAAAUUCAGUGGUCAACAAAAAAGUCUAAAUUUGACUUUUCGAUAUUUUAAAAUGAAUUAGAAGUUGAAAUCAAAGAUGUUGAUACUAUCUUUGUAGUGCUUUCGAUGUUAAUUAGUCGAAAAUGCAAUGAAUGAUUUUGUGUUAUCGAAGGGCUGAGAAACUUCGAUGAUCGUUCGAUAGUGGCUCUUCAAUGACGAUUCAAACGGAAAAAUAGAAUUUUUCGAUAUUGCAUUUUUGAGGGUUAGAGGUCGAACUGGUAUUGAAAAUCAGUGUUAUUUUGACAUUGUAAGAUUAGAAUUAUUAAAAUUUCGGUAUUAAAAACCUAUUUUAAGUUUAUAAAACCGAUUUAUUUAAAUUUCGGUUUAUUGUAGCAGUCUACAGAUGUUAGAAAACAAACAAAAUUCUUAUUACAUGUUGCAAGCCGUUUGGUCUUAAAAAAAAAAAAACAGCUUCUUAAUCUCAACCAGUACGACUCGUUGACUCAUUUCGUUACAAAUAAAACUACUUUAAACUUCAAUUUCAACAAUUUAAACGUUUGGACUAGACUACGUAUCAAGAGAUACUCCAUAAGUACUCCACUGACUAAAUUCCUAGUCUACUCAAUUUAAAAACAAUAUCAUCUCUCACCUCUAAAACCCUCUUUGUGAAAUCACAUGUGCUCAUCUAGUAAUUUUUAUAGAACUUAGUAAUCAUCAACACACUUUUUAAUAAGCGCUAGUGACAAAUGUGUCGAGUAUAAUGAUUUAAACCUAAUCUUAAUCCUCGAAAAAGCCUCCUUUUCCUAAAUCGACUAAAUAAAAAAACCCUAAAGUAACUAACUAAUUAGAAUAUAGUUUUCUAACAACCUCCAAACUUUUAACUCAAAUUAAUGAAGUAUAUGGCUUAUUAAAGGGUUUUCAUGCAUAAAACUUUGGUGGAUGUUUAAACAAAACCAAAUCUUUUUUCCAUUAAAUUCUUGAUGCAGAACUAAAACGUGGUUACAAGGUAAUGUUAAUAAAAAGAACUUAAUCACUCAUUUUUUGUUAGACUUUUUUCAAUCGUAUGAUACGAAAAUACAACUUAAAAGAACAUGUUUUUUGCAAAAAUAAAAAAUCAAGCAGUCAUAGCGUUAUUACACAUGCCAGGAUUUCUAAUGCACCAAAGCGGUUGAAUCGGUUCAGCCUUCACCCCUCUCUUCACCAUUCUAUUUAUCCACUCAUUCAACCUAUCCGUCGCCUCCCCAGAUCUCUUCACCCCCGCCUCAUCACGGUUGCCGGACCACAACACCUCCGCCAUUGCCGACGACCUUGGCCAAAUCCUUGAAUCAAGAACCGUCGCAUCCGCCUGCUCCGACCACAAAGCCACCUCCCCACCCAAAACCAACUUCGCCUCCGCCUCCGUCAGCCCAUAUGUUAUAUCAUAGUUGUAUAUCAACUGCCAUGUCUUGAAAGGUCCACACCAUGAUCCACCUUUUCCCUGUUCAGUACCUGGUGGUUGAUCGUAUAUACUGUUAUUCCCAGUGAAAUCACCAUGGCCACAGUCCAAGUAAUAGUAAUCCGCCGACGACACGAUUGUCCGGUAACCAGCCGACACCAACCGUUUCGUGUUGUUGGGGCCGCCGUUCCAUGUCUGCAUAAUGGUGGUUUCCGGUGGGAGAAUCGAAGGAUUCACCUUUAUUUCGCCGUCAAGAAUAACGUCCUCCCAGUAGACAGCGGUGCGAUUGAGCGACAAAAUGUAAGGGUAGGUGGAGUUGAUGAAGAUUUCGAGGACUUGACUGAGUGUGCCGUUGUUAGCAAGAUACUUUUGGAUUGUAGGGUCGGCUUUCCAACAUCCGGGAACGACCUCAUCGGCUCCGCCGUGGAAAAAUGUAUCUGGAAAUAGUGUAGUCAGUUCUGUGAAAACGUUUUUCACGACGUCGUAGGUUUUCGGAAUUAAAGGAUUUAAGUGGCCGGUUCCUGGCUCUGCUGCCAGCCGGUCUUCCCACGAGGCCCCCGCCGGCAUCCAAAACAUGUUGGCACAAGCUACAAUCUCCGGAUAAGCAUCCGCCCAUGACCCCGUGUGCCCUGCAGAACGAUAAGAAAAGGAGCCAUUGAUAACAUCAAUCGAUCGGGAAUUACGAAUCGCCGGAAAACGUGCACACAAUGAUAAAAUUGAGAACUUACCAGGCAUAUCGAUCUCCGGAAUCACUCGAACGCCGUGUUCCAACCCGAAUUGAACAAUCCGCUUUACAUCUUCGGUCGAAUACUGCAUAUCCGAUCCAUACGAUCCAUUUCCGGCAAGCGCUGGUUCCGAUUUCAGAACCAAUGGAAACGAAUGCGAAUCUGUUAUGUGCCAAUGGAACACGUUCAGUUUAUUGGCACUCAUACCUCCAAUCAACCUCAAAAGAUCCUCAACACCAUAGUAAUUCCUUGAAGUAUCCAAUAGAAUCCCUCUGUGUUCGAAGAUAGGCCAAUCCGAGAUCACCAAUCCGGCUGCCACUCGAGCAGGGCUUCCCCAUACUAGUUGCGAGAAACUCUCCAGUCCUCUCAUAGCUCCCCAAGGCGUCGCCGCCGUGAGAGUAGCGGAGGUGCUUUUGGACGGGAUGGUGAGAGUGUAGGAUUCAUUGACGCCAUGAGAGAGCGUUGCUUUGAGAUCUGAUAUGAUGAUGGUUAAAGUUUGUAACGGCAGGGAGGUGGUGAAGUUGAUCGCCGGAGCAAGUAAGGGGUUGUAGUUAGCGGUUUGGAUUUGGCUGAGGUAACGGUUAACCGCCGGUGUUAAGUAGGGGUGCGGCGGAGAAGUAAUGACGAAUGAUGGGGAGAAAGGGAUUGCCUGUGGGGUGGUCCAGACGAAGGAUCUUGGUUUGGGCCAUAUGUUAAUCGGAGAUCCAACGGCUAAG
rnacentral:lncRNA from 1 species